GCGGCCCUGACAGACUGUUUCUUUACUGAAUCGGGCAGUGCCAAAAUUUCCAGCAUUUUGGCAUGCUAUUAAUGUGAAAAUAUAUCUUCUAUUACAGAGGAUUCAAGCCUGACAUAUGUCAGGUCAAUCCUAAUGAAACUGGACAAAAUUGAGCAGCAUCUUGAGACUGCUUCCCUGUGUAUGAGUUAUCGGACUUUUCUUUUGGACUACGAACUUUGGGUUCCCUUGGAUGUAUGUGUUUGCUGGCUCUGACCACGGACUGUAUUAUCAACCCGUAAGUGCGUUUUUUGUUACACCGUGUCUUGUUUUUCUGUUCAGCAUUAGUACUCUUAUUAAAGAGACGGUUUUGUUUCACAUAAUCCUCGUCUGGCCAUUUAAUCGAGUUCACCCACGACAUUUCCGCGGCAUCACGCGUCGUUCCUGACAAUGGCAUUACAUCUCAGGACCCUGAGAUCUUGGAGGACUUUGGAACACCACUGGAUGAACCAGUACAACUGGAAGAAGCUUCAGCGAAGCUGAGGGACCAGAACUACAGAAAUAAAAUGGCAGCCUAUAGCCCGAAAGGCCGAAAAGGGAAGAAAAGGUUUGAAGACCUGCUGUUAUAAAGGGUAAGUGCACAAGUGAAAAUGUUAAAGUUAUUACAUAGCCUCAAAUAUUAACCUGUGUGUUCACUUUGUUUGUGCAUAACUAUUCUAUCAUAUUAGAAAAGGAAUAGUUAAGAUUAUAUU